rnacentral:RNase_P_RNA from 1 species
GAGAGGGAGAGAGCGGCCGACGGUGACAUAACAGUCGCUGAGGAAAGUCCCCCCACCCCCCGGGCACGCAGCCGUACGCAAGUACGGGUGGCGAGAGUCACGGCAAUGGAACAGAAACGACACGGCCUGUUUUCAGUCAUGAUGCGGUU